AACGAACGCUGGCGGCGUGCUUAACACAUGCAAGUCGAACGGUAAGGCCCUUCGGGGUACACGAGUGGCGAACGGGUGAGUAACACGUGGGUGAUCUGCCCUGCACUUCGGGAUAAGCCUGGGAAACUGGGUCUAAUACCGGAUAGGACCACUGCCUGCAUGGGUGGGUGUGGAAAGCUUUUGCGGUGUGGGAUGGGCCCGCGGCCUAUCAGCUUGUUGGUGGGGUGAUGGCCUACCAAGGCGACGACGGGUAGCCGGCCUGAGAGGGUGACCGGCCACACUGGGACUGAGAUACGGCCCAGACUCCUACGGGAGGCAGCAGUGGGGAAUAUUGCACAAUGGGCGCAAGCCUGAUGCAGCGACGCCGCGUGAGGGAUGACGGCCUUCGGGUUGUAAACCUCUUUCAGCACCGACGAAGCGCAAGUGACGGUAGGUGCAGAAGAAGGACCGGCCAACUACGUGCCAGCCGCCGCGGUAA
rnacentral:rRNA from 1 species